AUGUAUUGGCUAAUCGUGGAACAAAUUAAGCACACUGUCUCAGUACCUUUUGUCAAACUGCAUUAUAUUUUAUUGUUGUCUUUCUCCCUCUUUCUUUAUUUGAACAUUUUCUCGUCAUAAUCUUUUUAGUGACUCUAAAAGUGCUCAUCAUAACCUUUUUAGUGACUCGACUUAUGCUCAUCAUACAUAAUUGGAUUUCCUCUUCUUCGUGUUCUAUUGAUCAGAAGCAUCCAGCAGCGCCUCCCCGGUGUAGAAUUCGAACAAAAAAUGGCCAUA
rnacentral:lncRNA from 1 species